UAAAACAUAGUGUUAAUGCAUCGAAUCCCAUUAGAACUCUACAGUUAAGCGCGCUCGGGAUAGAGCAGUACUGAAAUGAGUGACCACCCGAGAAGUACUAGUGUUUUAC
rnacentral:rRNA from 1 species